UACGGAGGGGGCUAGCGUUGUUCGGAAUUACUGGGCGUAAAGCGCGCGUAGGCGGACCUGCAAGUCGGGGGUGAAAGCCCGAGGCUCAACCUCGGAACUGCCUUCGAUACUGCGGGUCUCGAGUCCGGGAGAGGUGAGUGGAAUUCCUAGUGUAGAGGUGAAAUUCGUAGAUAUUAGGAAGAACACCAGUGGCGAAGGCGGCUCACUGGCUCGGUACUGACGCUGAUGCGCGAAAGCGUGGGGAGCAAACAGG
rnacentral:rRNA from 1 species